AUGCUUCAUAUACUUACUUUCCUUCAUAUCAAAUCUCUCGUUAACUCUGCAAGGUAUGUUUGCAAAUCCUGGGCCGCUACUAUUCCAACCUCCCAAUUCGCUCUGGCACGCCUACUACAUUCCAAACCCUCUCUUUAUGUUGAAAAUUGCGACUUUCGAUCUAGAUCUUAUAUCUUGGAUAUCAAAACUCAUGUCAAUGGUCAGUUUGAAUUUGAAAGGACCGAUUUCAGAGCAUCUUCAAGAAUGAAAAGAAUUAUCCUUAACAGAUCUCGGCAUUGA